rnacentral:rRNA from 1 species
UGGUGGGCCAGCUUAGUACUAGAGGAACUGCUCAUUCAGAUAAUUGGUUUUUGCGGCUGUCCGACCGGGCAGUGCCGCGAAGCUACCAUCUGCUGGAUAAUGGCUGAACGCCUCUAAGUCAGAAUCCAUGCCAGAACGCGGUGAUACCACCCGCACGUAUAGAUGGACAAGAAUAGGCUCCGGCUUAGCGUCUUAGCAGGCGAUUCUUCCACGGCGCUCGAAGCGCGUCGUGGUAUUUCGCGUAUUGUAAUUUCAACACGAGCGGGGUCAAAUCCUUUGCAGACGACUUAUCUGUGCGAAACGGUCCUGUAAGCAGUAGAGUAUCCUUGUUGUUACGAUCUGCUGAGGGUAAGCCGUCCUUCGCCUAUAUUUCCCCAAUGUACGCCCCGCGAGACGGGGCCACUUAUGGGGCCGAAGGGCCGGGUGCAGGGUAUGUCGGUCGGAGUUGGGCUGAACCGGCCGCCGCGCGAAGCAUGCAUCCUGGUUGAAACUUGGUCCUUCCGACUCGGGGAAACUAAUAUCCUUUUAGGUACCAA